UCCCCACCCCUGCAACCAGCUAGGAUUUUUCUUCAGCUUCUCUUUUCUUCUCCCAUUAGAUUGUGAGCUCCUUGAGGGCAGGGAUU
rnacentral:miRNA from 1 species